rnacentral:tmRNA from 1 species
GGGGUCGUCUUGGAUUCGACAGGGAUCAGUUUGACUUUAGCUGCAGUCGAUGGCACACGUAAUGUGCAAACAAAAAAUAACUGGAAACAGAACAAAUUACGCUUUUGCCUAAUAUAAGUCGACAUAGACUUUGGCAUGCUACUAUUUAGUCUACUCAUAGCUAAAUAGCUAGUAUUAUAACAUGUGAGUUAAGGUAUUACUUAGCCUAGAGGUAAUACUCGAAAAUCUAUAGGAUCGCUAAGUGAAUAUUGCUUAUUGAUUUAAGCUUAGCUAAAUUUAACCAAUAAGCUAAACUGUAGACGCUUUAGGGGGACGAUUUUUGGACGCGGGUUCGAUUCCCGCCGACUCCACCA